rnacentral:rRNA from 1 species
UACGUAGGUGGCAAGCGUUGUCCGGAUGUGCUGGGCGUAAAGGGCGUGCAGGCGGUUUGUUAAGUGCAGGGGGAAAGCUCCCGGCUCAACUGGGAGAGGUCCUUGCAUACUGGCGAACUCGAGGGAGGCAGAGGAAAGUGGAAUUCCCGGUGUAGUGGUGAUAUGCGUAGAUAUCGGGAGGAACACCUGUGGCGAAGGCGGGUCUCUGGACAGUUCCUGACGCUGAGGCACGAAGGUCAGGGGAGCAAACGGG